rnacentral:rRNA from 1 species
UACAGAGGGGGCAAGCGUUGUUCGGAAUUACUGGGCGUAAAGGGCGCGUAGGCGGCCUUCUAAGUCAGACGUGAGAUCCCUCGGCUCAACCGGGGAACUGCGUCUGAGACUGGAAGGCUUGAAUCCGGGAGAGGGAUGUGGAAUUCCAGGUGUAGCGGUGAAAUGCGUAGAUAUCUGGAGGAACACCGGUGGCGAAGGCGGCAUCCUGGACCGGUAUUGACGCUGAGGCGCGAAAGCGUGGGUAGCAAACAGG